GAUGAACGCUGGCGGCGUGCUUAACACAUGCAAGUCGAACGAUGAAGCCCAGCUUGCUGGGUGGAUUAGUGGCGAACGGGUGAGUAACACGUGAGUAACCUGCCCUUAACUCUGGGAUAAGCCCGGGAAACUGGGUCUAAUACCGGAUAGGAGCGCCUACCGCAUGGUGGGUGUUGGAAAGAUUUAUCGGUUUUGGAUGGACUCGCGGCCUAUCAGCUUGUUGGUGAGGUAAUGGCUCACCAAGGCGACGACGGGUAGCCGGCCUGAGAGGGUGACCGGCCACACUGGGACUGAGACACGGCCCAGACUCCUACGGGAGGCAGCAGUGGGGAAUAUUGCACAAUGGGCGAAAGCCUGAUGCAGCGACGCCGCGUGAGGGAUGACGGCCUUCGGGUUGUAAACCUCUUUCAGUAGGGAAGAAGCGAAAGUGACGGUACCUGAAGAAGAAGCACCGGCUAACUACGUG
rnacentral:rRNA from 1 species